rnacentral:tRNA from 1 species
GCCUGGAUAGCUCGGUAGAGCUUCAGGAUUUUAAUCUGAGGGUCCAGGGUUCAAGUCCCUGUUCGGGUG